UGUCAGUCACACCAGAAGCCUGGACUCUCGGGGAGGGACGGAGCCUCCAUGUAGACUAUGGAGUACCUGCCUAGAAAAUCAGGACCUGGUUAUAGAUUCCAGGAUUGAAGGCAGAGAGAUCAAUGGGACUGGGAAAAUCCACACUCCACCAAGCCAAGUAGAAACACCAGCUUGUGAAGCAGAAAAACCAGAUUUUGAAACUGGGAGAGUCAAGGCAACCUACUGCUGCUAACGCUGAGGGCAGGGAUUUGUGAGUAACUUGAGUCUGACAUCGGAAAUUGUUAAUAUCUCAUGGGUUAUCAUCUUUAAGAGAACAAGAAAAUAAAAUGUCAGGGUGCCUGGA